UGCAACAAAUUUUGCUGGCACAGCGUACAAAAAUAUAUGCCAGCCUAGCAAGGAUGCCAGAAAGGAUUGGAGCGAGUGAGCAGAUUGCGAAAGGAUAUUUCACUUUAUUGGCAAAGUCAAAGAUGGAAUGCGUUUAUACUCGUAGUUGCAGGAUACAGGACGGCAAGUGACAACGACAAGUUAUUGUCACACUCCGCCAUUGAUGUCGUCCAGCUCAGACACAUCAAGCGGCAGGCCGAUAGUGCCCCUUUCAUGCCGAUGGAAACAAAGCAUUCACCCUGCGACAUGGACUCGAGGGGCGCCAGGAGCUAAGUCUUCGCCUUUCCCAACCAUUGCAUCUGGUUUUACAACAAUCGAUACAUGAAUGAGGGUCAUUACCGAGUCUACAAGAUGGGGGCGUUCCUUUUCGGCCAGUAUUACGAACAGUAUAACCGAUCCGCACACCUAUGACUUCAUCCUUAAAUAAAUAGUAGAGCCAACAAAACUGUUUACAUAAAUUGCAUCUUUUUGAGUACGCUUCUAAUUUAAACUGUUCGGGAAAAAGCUCCUUUAAACGCAUCCGAUCUUUAGGAUAUUUCUUUAAAUGCAUUAUAAUUGUGAUACAUUCCGAAAUACACAUUAAUAUUUUAAAUGGAGAAGCAUUGAGCCAUAUGUCUGAAUCAACUCAAUCUCAUAUACAUAUAUCAUAACAAUCAUAUGACACCUAAUAAUCAUGGCUAAAAUACUGUUCUUUGUGGUUUUGGCUGUAAUGUGGUGCGCCGGGAACUCGAGAAGUAUUCCCAUUCCUUCAGAGCCUAGUGCCCUGGUCAGCAAGAAAAACUCAACCCAAAAUAACACACUCGAAGAUACUUCACCGAAAAUUACCAAGUUUGAUUCGCCAGCUAUAAAAUCUGUUGUUAUACAUAUUCCCAGACAACGACGACAAGAAUGGGAACCGACCAUUCCAUUUAAUUUCUUAUACGCACACUCGCCCUGCGAUUUCGACGCUUCUCCGAUAGUACAUACAUACGGAUACGAUUUCUGGACUUCACUGCCUGAACGUGGUUGUCUGUGGAUUUUUAGCCAGAGGUUCGCCUCCGAGGGGUUCUACCGUAUCUUCUCUCUAUUUAGGUUGGAGGGGUUCUUUUUCGGCAUGUAUAUGGAGCGGUUGUUUCGAUAUGAGUACGACAUUCACUAUUUUGAUUACGAAGAUAUUGUUAUCCAACCAAAGCCGGCGAAGUGAGCGCUCUAAACCGUUUACUCUUCUUCCAAUAAUCUUCAAAUCUUUUAUCGAUAAAAUCGAUGACAUACAUUUGGUCGUUAUGGUCUUUCCUAG